rnacentral:rRNA from 1 species
GACGAACGCUGGCGGCGUGCCUAAUACAUGCAAGUCGAGCGAAUCAAUGGGAGCUUGCUCCCUGAGAUUAGCGGCGGACGGGUGAGUAACACGUGGGUAACCUGCCUGUAAGACUGGGAUAACUUCGGGAAACCGGAGCUAAUACCGGAUACGUUCUUUUCUCGCAUGAGGAGAGAUGGAAAGAUGGUUCUGCUAUCACUUACAGAUGGACCCGCGGCGCAUUAGCUAGUUGGUGAGGUAACGGCUCACCAAGGCGACGAUGCGUAGCCGACCUGAGAGGGUGAUCGGCCACACUGGGACUGAGACACGGCCCAGACUCCUACGGGAGGCAGCAGUAGGGAAUCUUCCGCAAUGGACGAAGGUCUGACGGAGCAAUGCCGCGUGAGCGAAGAAGGCCUUCGGGUCGUAAAGCUCUGUUGUUAGGGAAGAACAAGUACGAGAGUAACUGCUCGUACCUUGACGGUACCUAACCAGAAAGCCACGGCUAACUACGUGCCAGCAGCCGCCGUAA